UUCGUUUAAGAGGCCGAACGCAGAUUGAAGGGGGCGUUUUAACUGAUGGUAAAACUGGGCAGUGAUAUGAGAUGUACGGUGGAUUCGUUUAAGAGGUAUGAAACUUGGUCUGAAGCGAAUAUAUGAUCAAGUCUGCUCCUUAUUAUUUUGCAAGGCCCCGUCUUUCAAUAAAAAGUCAUUUUUUUUAGGGAGGUCAUUGCAUAUGAGACCUGAAUCUUCCCUCCAAAAAUAAUUAUUAUUUUCCGUCCAAUGGGCCAACGCUUUUGUCAUUUUUGAGUACCAAUUUUUAGUAUCACGGUUGUGGGCGUUUACUACGAUCAAUUUACGACCUAUUAGACUUUGAAUGAGAAAGACAUUAGUCUAUGGGACAAUAUGGAUGAUCUUGUUUUAUCCUGCACUAUUGAAUGGACCAGCGUUAUAAUGUCUGGUAAAAUUAAUGCAUUGAUGUAAUACAAUAGACUGGAGGCCCUACUAGAAGAGGAAAUUGAGCUACAUUACAAGAUGCAAGACUUGCCAUAAUGAUUGUGGAGGUUUUAAUUUUGCGAAAAGCCGGAAAAGAGGCCCUGUUUUUCAAUACGUCAUAUUUUUUUUUUGAGGGAGGUCAUUGCAUGUGAGACCUGAACCUUAAGGCUCCUCUGGUAUCUCAACUAUUGAUAGUUUAAAUGCAUAUAUUUCCUUAGAUUGGACGAUUACCCUUUAAAGUACAAAUUUAACAAUUUUGUCGAGCGUACAGUUUCGUAUAGCAGGAGCUCCUCCAGUUUUAAGG
rnacentral:lncRNA from 1 species